GUUUACAAAGCCCAUGACAUUUCUCAGACACAUAGAACCACACAAAAGGAAAUGGGAAGGUAAACAACACUCUCUACCACUGAUAAUUCAACAGGAAGUAAAAGCAAGGUUUUCUGUUCCACAAAGUAUAGGCUGCUUCUACUUGAGAAGGAAGGCAAGUCCAUUUACUUGUACCAGGGUUAGGUAUACAUCCUCUAAUAGUCUAAAUACCCUGAACUAUCAUGUCCAUAACAAAGCCUAUUCGUGGGGUAACAAAGCAUGACAAAUGGAAACAUCAUAAGAAUUAGUAACUUUGAAUGGUGCUUUGAGAUCUUUGGCUGAAAAGUUUGACAAAAGUACAAAGUACCAUUACAAUAUCUAUUAUUUUUAUAUGAACACAAUUCAAAGCAACAGUACAAAAACAGGCACAACACAUUAUCUAAAGGGAAGGCAGAGGAACAGGAGCUCUUAUUCCUAAAAUACCGCUGUGGUUUCUGGCUCACACUGCCUACCUGACCAGUUCCCUCUGAACAAAUAUUGUCAAAUCUGUUGUCCCGUUCCUUUAUCAUCAGUUUGAGAAAAUAAAAGAGUGAAAGCUUGAAUAUAUUCUAAUGUGGUCUUUAAACCUCUGAUCUAUAGACAGAUGUAGAAUAUCCUUUUCUGAUGGAUUCUGUAACCAUCUGCAUGUCCCAUCUUUCUAGCACCUUCACUCACUGCUAGCUUCCAUUCUUAUACAUCACUGAGGAAGUAGCUUAAAAAAGAGAAGAAACAGCAAGCUAGGAAAGCAGAAGCAAUCAAUCUGAUCUGUUUGGGGCCUUCUACAACGUAAAAACAAAUAUUGUUUGAUUUUAACUUACCACAGCAGAAAACUGAGGCAUGUUUAGCUAGGUUCUCCCUCUCUGAUGUUUUGCUUAAAUGUUGCUUUAGCGUAUUCAUUAUCAGGGUUGGAUAAUAAUUUUCAUCAUUCACUUAAAAUGUGCACUGAUGUGUCAUUAAUUAGUAUUAAUCACAAAAUUGCCAUAUAGGUGCAAAGACUAUGGGGGCCUAUAUAUGCCUCGUUAAGCUAUUACAGCUUAAGAAAUCAACUGGACUUUCAAAUGUGUUAGCUGUUGAACUCCAUAAGAAUAAGUAAUUAAAACUCAACUAAGUUAGUGUCAAGUAUACUGUACAGAUGGAGUACAAUGAAUUUUGCAAAAUCUUUCACAUUCCUAACAAAAAGUUGUUAAGUAUUAUUAUUGCUAUUGUUCUUACUACCAUUAGACAGUUCAUGAUCUUGACUCCAAGAACGCCCAUGAUGUGCCAGGCACUAUAGAAAUUAAACACAAGAAGCAGCCAUUGAUACAAUGGCAUACAAAGAGGACAACUCAAAAGAAAGCACUGCUCAUUGCUUCAGCACAUACUCUCUGCCAGAAAAAUGAGAGUUAAUCAAAGGAGAUAUAUCUGUCUGUGAAUGCAAUACCAUGCUAAAUGUCCUAUAUUUUUUCUAAAUACUUGUCUAAAGAGGUACAGAACUGAAAAUUAAAUAGCAAUGAAGAGCAUAAUGCAAAAAAAAGGACAUUGUAUCAACACAAUAAAUAAUCCUAACAGUAAGGCAUUCUUAGUUAUAAUGUAUCUGUUAGUGUUGAAUCUUCCUGUAAUUGUUUACAUUUCUAGUUAAACGAGAACAUAUAUAGAGAGGGACCACAGCUGUUCCUCCUGGGAAUCCACCCUAAAUGUGUUAAACUCAAAGGCUGCUGCAGCUGUAUUGCAGAAACACAGAAAUUAUAUCCCAAGGUGCACAGCAUUGGUAUUUUUUAUUCAAUUGCAAGAUGUUUUGGUGAUAUGUUUGAACAGGAUUCAGAGCUCAUGUUGGCCAUUGUGUGUGAGACAGAUGUCUGGUGCCAUGAAGGCCUAGCAUUAGCCUUGAUUUCUGUUGCUAGAGUAGAUAGUUAUAUGUGAACAGCAACAUAUGGCUUGCAUAUGCAUAGAUGUCUGCAUAUUUGAGUUUGCAAAGGAGAACAGUACAGAGUCAAAAAAUGAGAUUUUCUAUGUGAUUUGCUCUAUAAUUUUUUGCUUGGAAAUUUCAUUUUGUCAAGGACCUCAGCAUAUAGAGAUGGCAAUACAGGAUUCAGUUCUGGAAGGGGCCCCCUAAAAUAUCAGGUCAUUCUCAGCUAUUGUAAUUAACCAUGAUCAUAAACCGAUCAAGCUUAACACCUUAGGUUUGUGACAAAGCUUUAUUAGAAAGCUGUUCUGGCAUCUGAUCCCUCUGAAGAUUAGAAACCAUCCUUUUAUGUGUUCCUAAAUGUAUUCAUGGCCAUUUGCUCCCUUAUAAAGAGGGUCUUUGGCUAAUGCAACAAUUCUGUUUCCCUGGUGUUUAUCCACUGGUGUAGUUAGAAAGAAUUCUCCACUCAGUUUUCACUUGACUGUAUUUUAAUAUAUAUAUAUAUAUUUUAGUUCCCCCUAUCCUGAUCAUAUGAAAGUACAAGAAAAAGAUGGAAUAAAAAGAGAAUUUUGAUGGUUUUGCUUUUUCUUUUAAUUGAAACAGCUCAGAUGAUAGCAUUUAAUGUUAAACUUCUUAUUUUGUUCAGACUAGAACACCCAUUCCUGAGCAAACUGUGUUUCCUAUCAUGUUACCCUUGUCAGACUAGAGGACUGACUGAACAGCUGAUACAACCACUUCAUGGUCUUCGGGUAUGAAGGCAAAGAAAGGGCAAAACAAAGAUGUAAGAAGGAACUGGUCAUGCUGAUGAAGAAGUCACAGUAGUGUCUGAACUGGGUGUCCUAUGAACCUGUGAAUUUUACAGCUCAAACUAGCAUCUCAAAUUAGCAUCACAGCUUUUACAUAACUAUACUGGCUUUUUCCUUCUAUACUGGACAACUAGCAGCACUGAAAUUAUAGCAUGGUGGCACUUCUGAGGGAAGUGGCUGGACUAAAAGCUCCUGAAAAAUGUGCUGCUAAUGGUCUCAGAAGAACCAUAGGCCAAGUGAUACUAUGAAAGCAUAAUUUUUCCAGGCAUUGACAAGAUUUGCCGGCUGGGAAAAGCAAACCAUGUUCCACAAUGGCAGAUGGAAAGGAAAUUACUCUUGCAUGGGCUUGAGAGACUUUCUUUAGCUUGCUCUAUCUUUUGCCAGUGUCUAGCAACUUCAGCUGGAUGACAGUUGCAGGCUCACUGCCCAGGUGCUGUUUAGCAAGGCAACAGAGGCAUUUUUCAUUAUUUAAUCAGCACUGGAAUAUCUAUUAGUGACAACUGGGUAUCAGAAUGCAGAAUAUUCAAAAGAACACAGUUCUGCUGUGUUAAUCAGAGACUCUCAUUGAAUUAAUAUGCAUUGUCUGAGUAAAUACUUUCUCCCAGUGACUUUGGCUUUUCCAGGUUAAGCAAUUCAGUAAACUGUAACUGAAAUGCUGGAGACACCUGUAAGAUAAUCUGUGCAAGAACUGUGUGUUAAUAAAGAUACAAUAAGCAGUCUCUAUAGCCAGUCUCCCAGAAGGAUGCAGUAACACAGAUACUUUAAGAAGGAACAUCAAAAGUCAGUCAGCUGAGUUGACAAUGAACUACAAGCCAAUACUGACUUCAGUGUAAUGGAAAACACAGACGGUAAGCUACAGAAUGACGCUUUAAAAUACAGAAUUUUAAAUACCAUUGAAAACUAUGAAUUGUUCUGGUUCUUUCCAUAACUUGAGAGGCUGAUCAAAUGAUGGCAUGUAAUAAAGUAUCUGGAACAUAAAAAUCUUCAGACUUAAAUAAUUUGAUCUCUUCAGAUGUGCUGAAACUCUUAGGGAUGCGCUUGGGAAACAAAGGGGUGGCCAAAAUUGACAUGUUUGCAGGUAUGAUCUGCCAUUUUUAAAGUCAUGCUGCUCCCUUUUUGUUUUCUUUUUUUCUUCGUAUUUCUAGGAGUGAAGAUACUUCUGGGCGGGAUUUGCCACAAACAUAGUUAUAAUCAGGACUCUUCUGGCAGAUACUCUCUUCAUACUUUCUAGGGAUGUGGUGAACAAAGAGGGCAGUAAAUGGCGUUUUAGUUUUGCUAACUUUAUCAGCUUUAACUUACAGAUUUUAAUUCUGAUCUAAUUAUGCUUUGGAAGAUAAGGAUUGACCUUUAUGGGACUUCUACAAUUCCAGAGAAAACUGCUUGGUGUAUGCAUUAAUCCACUCAAGAGGAACCUCAUGGAGCUUAAAUGCCAAGUGAACAUGUGAAAUACCAGGUUUUAAAGUGGAGUUUACACAGCUGCCACGUUGGUUUAGCAGGGAGCGACUGCAGCCACAGCUCUGAAUAAUAGGAAAACAGAACUUUGGAUGGAAACUGCCUUUCUGCUCUUUGGCAGAAUCCACCAGUAAUGCACUUUGCCUUAGCUUUGGCUCUCCCUCCUGUUCAUUCUUCUUUCUAUUUUUGCUCCUAUUCUCUCAUUCCUCCUAUGCUCUGUAUAUUUUUUUAAUAAAGGUAAUUGUUUAAAUUACUUUGCAUUUUUGUAAAUAUUAAAGUAAGAUUUAAUAUCUGAGUCAGUUACAGUAAUAAGGAUUUCAGCUCCAACAUCAAGCUGAGCUAGUUAUCUUGUAAUUUGAUUCAUGAUGUACGAAGAAUUGUAAAACAUUUCCACCAAAAUCAGGGUUUAUUUGUUUUGUUGUCACUGAUUGUAGAUCCAGAUCAAGCAAUUAAGUGUUUUGUAACAAAUACAAAAUACUGCAGAUUAUAAAUAUUAAUAGCACCCAAACUAUUUCCUAGCUGCUAUCAUAAAAGUCAGAGAAUACUUGUUGAUAUCUUAAGUAUUGGGACUCUAAACAACAGAGCUCCAUUUCGUGCCUUGAACAAAACAAUACCUUUCAUAUUUCUUUUGCUGUACUUUGGAUGCCACUGCCUUCAGUGUUAGCAUUGUUCUGGAGUAAAAAUACAUUUUAAAAGCUAAAUGAUUCCUGCUACCAUGAUUAGAUUCUGAGAUGUAUCAGUAUGAGCUUCUCUAUGAAAGAGAGAUUUAAGGUAUGGGAUACUACAGAAGGAGCCAUCCACCCAGCAAGACUUUCCCCAAUAAUCUAUUGCACAAGGCAUAAUGGUGCCUCAAGGUAAACUUAGGUUUCUCAGGUUAGACACAAAUCUUGUUACUUUCUUGGCCUGACUAAUAUAUCUUACUUCCGUGAGGCUUUGUGAUGCUCAAUAUCUCUGAAAAUUAAGCCAGAGAAGUGUUGUCUUCUGGAUGUAUACGGCACAGACAAAACAAAUGAAAGGAAGACUUUACCUGAGAUUCACAAUUACAUAAGAAAAUUUGCAAUGUGAAAUGUAAAAAUAUGUGAGAAGAACACAAUGUAAAUCCACAAGGAAAUAGAAAGUGUAUGAAACAUUUUUGUUACUGGUGACAAGAAAAGAAACAACACAUUGGACUUGGAGGUAAGCAAAUGUUUUAAGGUAAAUACCUGUUUCUGUAGGGAGUCUGGUGCUCAUAUAAUGCUUUACGUACCAGAUUGAUUCAUUUCAAUCCUGUUGACUCAACAGAGACUAAAUCCCUCAUACUUUGGUUUGAAUUCACACAUUUGUCUCAUAUUUACUCAUUUGAAAAGCUGAUUCUAAAACAAAACCCUGGAAUUGUACUACUAAGAGAUUGUUUCAAAACAAACAGGAAAGAGAAAAACAUUCAGAUUUCAGAUAUAUUUUCACAUGUUCACGAUUUCCUUAAAGGAUUAUUGUCUGCUUUAUUCCUCCCUAUGCCUGUUUAUUUGGCAACCAUGAGCAAAUACAGUGUGUAGUCGAUCCUACUUCUUGUACAUAUGCACGUAGUCGUAUCCUGAUAAACUGGACUCGUUGCCUUUGUAGCAAAAUAAAACUAUAUAAAAUGGUUUCUAAUUUUUUACUGCAGACACCUAAUAUGUUAAUAUGGUGUGAAACAAAAACUCUUUUGGAUUAUAAGAAAUAAAGUGGGUCUUGGCCUUCUUGCAUAUCCUUAACUGAAAUGAAGCUGCGACAUCAAAGUAAGAAAUUUCAGCUUCAGCAGAAAACGUUGAUGAGAUCAGGUUUUUUAGUGUCCGACUAUUUAGAAUUGUACCAAGUGCAAUGAACAUCUGAAUUAAUUUCUUGUCAUUCGUGGUGGUAUCUGAAUUUUUGUUUCAAGUCAUUGUGACAACAAUUUACAGAAAUGUUGAGUUUUAAGCACACGGAUAUUCUCAUUAACUUCAAGACGGCUAUUCAUGUGAUUAAGUUGUCCUGCACUGAGUCCUUAGGUGGAAAAAUAACAAGAUAAUAUCUUACUUUAAGAAAGGUUAGGAAAAAACCCAUCUCUCAAAACCUCAAAUUCAAAAAAUAAAAAGGUUCUUCACAAAAAGCAAAAUUACAAAUCUAUGUCGCUUCACCGUGUCUUGGUAUAGAAGCUUAAUCAAAAACUUACUGAUGUGAUUUGGAAAUAUUUUCAUUUACUUCAGUAUGAUUUUGGAUCAGGCCCAUAUUGCUGAACUAUGUAAACAAUUUCUCCACCUGUGAACUGCUUCACCACUUAAUUACAACAUUAUGUUACAAAUACAACUACGUUAACUAUGUUAACUCCUUUGAUUUAUACAGUUUCUCCAGACUUAUACAAGCAGGUAUCCAGAGUCAAUGUGCCAUGUUAUCACUCUUUCAGUCUGUGUGACCCGGUUAUGUACAAGUACAAUGAAAAAUCAACCAUAGCUUAAAAUUCAUAGACAUUACAAAGAUUAUCAUAGACUUAAGGAGCAGUAGAAUCUACAGAACCCACUCUACCUUUUGUUAAAGACAGACUGGUUUUGAUCUCUUCUAAUCAAAUUACAUUUAUCACUCUUGGGUCACCUUUUCUUGCCAUCCUCUGCUACAGUACCAUCAUCUGUACAGCUGAUGUCACUGAAUUUGAAUUAUUCUUCAGUCAUACUAGCACCUGACUGAGAUGAAUGAAAUCAAUAUUCUUUUCCUUAUAGAUGAAAUGAAUUUAGUAAUGCAUAAGAGUAGUAGACCUUCCUUUCUUUGUCCAGCUCUACACUACAAUCCAUCAAAGUAUUCUGCCUAGCACUUGAAUUAACAUAUCUUAAUUUGUGGGCAACAACUCCUUCUAGCAUAAUGAAAUCUUUCAGUCUUUGAUUUGAAGUCUAUUCCAUAGUCUGGGCAUUUUCACCCACUACCAAUGAUCUUUGACUGGGAUAUCAAAAUAUAGAAUAAAAAAGCUACAUCCUAACAGUGCAUCACUUGUAGUUCUAAUGCCUAAACAAGAGUUCUUUUGAUUAUUUUUUAAGAAAGAUCAUCUUUAGUUAAUUGAGAUUCAAGUUUAUGCAAAAUAUUUUCAUAGAAUUUUGUUUGUACUAAAGGCAAACACCAGUGCUUUUUUCUGGCUGAAAAGAUGCCAGCUGGAGCAAACUAAUGAGCCCCAAAAAGAGAACAUUUGUACAGCUGGAGUCUGAAUGUUAUCAAGCUGCUUGUUUUUGAUUGACACUAUAACAGUCAUGGUAGUGGAAGGUGAUCAAUAAUACUCCCUCUGUGACAAUAUAAAUAGUACCAUCCAAGAGUGAUUGGCGAACAAAAAUAUUCAGAGGUUAGGCUCAAUUUGGGUAAGCAUCCAAGACUUCAGAUAUUUCUUCUAAUUGCCUAACCCGCUGGGGUCUCCAAAUUUCAGUCAAAAAUAGGUUGAUCAGUGGCUCACUUCUUUGUGUAUUCAGGAUUGCUCUGGUACUUGGUAUCAGCCCAAGGCAGAAAGUAUGAUAAUGAACAAGAACAGUUUUUGAUAUCAACAGCUCUUAAGCUUUUAAAAGAUUCACUUUGGUAAAGGAAUUUAACUCCUGCUAUUUACUUUGAGCUAGAUCAUUCUUCUACAUCAGGUUCAAUUUGUUGUGUAGGUAAUACACAGAACAGCUAGUGUUGUUAUUCAUGUUGAUAUAUGCAGCCAUGUAUACAACACAACUUAUUCAAAAAUUUUACAAGACAUGUCUACAUGAUCUUAAUCCAACUCCAAUGGAGACAGACUUUCCUGGAAAUAAGUAAAAUAGAGCCCCAUCUGAACACAGAGGGCAAUGGUUUGUCACUACAGCCAAAACUGUUUGUUUCCAAUCAAUGCAGGAGUACACCUGGAGGCUUCAAAAAGAAGAAAAAAAUACGAGCACGUGUGAGGCAACUUGAAAAGGUGAUAGGAGCACUUAAGACAGAAAGAUGGAUGCAUCAAAGGUGUGGGAGGAACCUGGUGGGUGAAAGGGAGGGUGCUGGCAGGCUCCAGCUUCCAGUGGGAUGGAUCUGCUGCAGCCUGCAGUCAUACAGAACCCAGCAAAAGAGAUGCGGAGUGGAGAAUCUUGCCUCUGACUAUCUAAUUCCCUGGAAGCCCUCACAAGGCUGAAGAUAAUGGGGAAAGAGCUGGAGGAUUGUUUUUAUUUCAGGUUUCACUUGGGAACUGAAUGUGGCUGUUAAAUUACUGUUAGGUAAAACAUCAGUGACAAUUUGCUUGCGUUUUUCUGCAAAUAGAUUUUUUUACUCAAGAAAAGUACAGUGGGAUUUGGAAAAAGAAAUUAUGAAAAUAACUGUAGCUGGUCUUUUCCUUAAAGUUUUAUUUUAUGCUCCAAAACUUUAAGUUCUGUUAAUAAAGCAAUUACAAUCCUAGAAAUUCAUAUUAAGAAUAGUCAAUAGUUACUUUAUUUAAAGCCAUGUAGACUGGGGACAGGUCAUGUUAAGCUUCAUGUGCAGAGUUUGCUGUUCAAAUGUGGCAGCCUUCACUGUUCUGUAAGAUGGCUAGAAUUUGAAACGAAAUUCAUUUUAAUGUGCAAAGCAUAAGCAGCAAGGCCCAGUAGAAAGAGGGAAAGCAAGUCUGUUUGCAGAUUGACCAGUGUCUCAGUGUGAGGAGAUCCUCCCAUGCACUUUUCAAAGGUUUUGUCAGCCUAGAGGAAUCUUAAUGGAGGGCAAAAAGUCCAGCAGAUUGCAUGGGAGGCAAUUCACUUCUUUCUAUAGAAUACCCUCUCAUAAUGAAGUUCUGCCUUCUUCAGGAUUGUUACUAGACAGGCUGCUUAGGUCACCAUAGCCCACCAGGAGUGUUUCCAGUUUCUGCCUCUCAACCACUAGGAUAUUGAUUUUCAGAAAUGUGAGGGGGGAGAGGCCUCACCACAUGUGACCACACGUGUGUUUCUCCUGAUGAGAAAUGGC